AAUCAUAGCGUGUGAUUGUGGGGGGGAGGGGCAUUAGAGUGUAAGCUCCUCUGUACAGAGACUGAUGUGACUGGGUCAGUGUGCUCUGUACAGCAGUGCGGUAUAGAUAUGACAGAGCUAUAUAAAUUAAUUGUAGUGUGUGAUUGUGGCAGGG